GACGAACGCUGGCGGCGUGCUUAACAUAUGCAAGUCGAACGGUGAAAGCGGAGCUUGCUCCGCUGGACCAGUGGCGAACGGGUGAGUAACACGUGGGCAACCUGCCCCUCACUUCGGGAUAACUCCGGGAAACCGGGGCUAAUACCGGAUAUGACCUCCUUGGGCAUCCUUGGAGGUGGAAAGUUUUUCGGUGAGGGAUGGGCCCGCGGCCUAUCAGCUUGUUGGUGAGGUAGUGGCUCACCAAGGCGACGACGGGUAGCCGGCCUGAGAGGGCGACCGGCCACACUGGGACUGAGACACGGCCCAGUCUCCUACGGGAGGCAGCAGUGGGGAAUAUUGCGCAAUGGGCGAAAGCCUGACGCAGCAACGCCGCGUGCGGGAUGACGGCCUUCGGGUUGUAAACCUCUUUUAGUAGGGAAGAAGCGAAAGUGACGGUACCUGCAGAAAAAGCACCGGCUAACUACGUGCCAGCCGCCGCCGUAA
rnacentral:rRNA from 1 species